UGAAGCAGUUUAAAAUAUUUCUUGGUCAAGACUAAAUCUAUCGGAACGUCUCUAAUUCGACCUUCUACUCUAUUUUGGUUUUUUGAGGUCUGAGCUAUCCUUUUCUCACCUGGGAAUACUGUGUCCACCAGUGGUGAAAAACGAUUGAAGAGGGGAAGAGACAUGAUUUAAAAGUUCUCAACUAAGGGACAAAAACAUAAAACCAGAGAGUUCUACCAUUUUGGAGACAGCACAGUGAGUCCUGAUGAGGUUGUGUGAAGGGAAACCAAUCCAGUUCUCUUUGGAGAAUCUUCAGUGUGCACACCCUUUGUUGUAAAUUUCCAAAAGUGAUUAUAAAAGAGAUCCACACAUA